UCUCCUAGCCAAGCUCGAGCCCCCGUCGUCCCCUCCUCCUGGACCGCCUCUCCUCUCCUUUGAAGAAGGAGCACGGGGCCCGCUGCUACACCGCCGUCGCCGUCGUCCUGCCUGAUCUGAGGCGCGAGUGGGAGGAGAAGGGGACACACCCUCGUCCUCAGCCUGCCAUCGACGUCGUCCUGCCGGAUCUGAUCUGGUUUUGUUCUCCCUGUAAGAGAGCAAAAGUGCCAUUGUAGAAGUUUUCUUGAAAACAUCUGGCUACUUGGAUUGCGCAAUCAAGUGCUCUAACAUAUACCAUCAGAGUUAAGAUAUGUAGGGCUCUGGCUUACAUUAAUGGCAACAUUGGAGUUUGCCACAAAAUCUUCUGAUUUGUUAUUUGAUGGACGUAGUCAGCAAACAACUGGAUUUCAUACUCCGAUACCGACGCUGCUGCUGCCCAGUUCGACUACGGAGCUGACGACCCCUCCUACUUGCCAGAGCAACCAG